CGAGCCAACAAUCACCGUUAGAUUAGAUAGCGAGCUGGGCAAAAGGUCGAAAACACAGAAGGAGAAGGAAGGGAGAGGAGCCGAUCAAUCGUUGGACGCGAGUUUCGAGGCACAUCAACAGGCAGCGAUGAUGAAACAAAGGAAAAAGUAGUUGAAUGGCGACGUCGCGCUGUCCCCCCCCUGAUUUUCCAGAUGGUACGUUACUGUGCCACGGCGACGCCACACAGAGGAUCGUUCCGUCAGUCGGGUCUCGGCCGCCGUCAACGUCAAUACGACGGCGCACGAGCUGAUCGCCUCGGCUCGGAAGCACCGAGCAUCCUCGCGGUACGGACCACCGAUAUAAUAUCAAACCCCCGAUAUAUCUUAUCCCUGCCCUCCACCUGCCCAACCAAUUCAUCGUCAACCAACGAAUCGUCCAACCCUUUCAUCCAAGUGUCAUCCCAAGUGUCAGCUCUCUUGAGUGUCUGUGCGUCUCUUUCGAUGCCUCCUAACUCGUGCAGCAGGCAUCCUGGUUGUCGCUGUUCCGCCUCUCUCCUCCUGCGUGCAAAGUGGGGUGAAAGGACGGUUCGAUAGGGGCCUCACAGGUAACCUCUCCUGCAGCGGAGGGAAUGCGGAUGCGGCAGCGGUGAUCUCAGUUUCGGGUGAAGGUGGUCGCGUUUUUGCGGUUAACUUUCCAUCCUUUUUUAGGCGGUAAUCGUGUGAACGUCUCUCUCUCUCUCUCUCUCUCUCGGUCGGUUUAUCGGUUUUCACGGUCGAAAUUGUUGGCAUAACACUGCUCGCGUCGCUUUGUUUGCAGGCGGAUUUCUCUCGUCGAAUUGUGCUUCGAGAUCUCGUCCCGAUUCCGUUUUACAGAACAAUCGUUCGUUGGACGAUAAGAAUCGAGUGGUUCCUGUCACGUGGCAAAAUUCAAUCGAUCACAAAUAUUCGAAAUAUUCGUUCGACGAAAGUCACGUCACGGCCGAGCUCGAUGACUGCAACAUCGUCUCUUUCGAGCAACGUUUAUCGGACGCACAGGCACGGAAGAAACCGAAACCCCUUCUUCCCCUUUCCACCUCUGUAUAGCCUCGAUAGCAGUGAUCGUGGCGGGAGUGCGUGUGGUGGUGCGUCAGUGUGGCAUUCUCUGUGACCAGAUGCAGUGGCCUGGCCCAUAUACUCUGCCCGUUCUCCUCGUGUCCUGGUGAGGACGCAGCCGGAAGGGAGGCGCGACACACACCUCCACCGAGGCAGCCAGUAAGCCUCGCACAGAAGCAGAGAACGAUUUCGAGAGCGGACGCUCCUCGAAAGCAGCAAGUCCUUCCACUAUCGACAAUCAGUUCCCGUGCACACUCGCGCGAGAACACCAAGCAGCCAACAAGGAUCCUCUCUCUCCUUCUUCUCUAACUAAAAAAAAAAAAAAAAAAGACUGAAACUACGCCGCUUCACCGCUUUCCACGCACGCACAUAAUUUUCUUACUUCAAAUUGUGCCAAAGCAACCGACUAUUUCCUCUUCCCCCUAAGAAGAAGAACGCAACGUAAUGAACGUGAUGAACCAUCGUUGUAAAAGUUUGAAUCCGUGAUGGAAUCCGUGAGAAGCUGCUCAGUUGAAAAGAUUUAUCGGGCGGGGAGAGGGUGGGAAGCGAUAUCGAAGCGUAGCGAAAGCUGUUUAGGAAAUCGAUGGGGUGGGGGGGAGAAGGGGUGGCGAUUAACGAGCGGUGAAAAGGAUGUAGCAAUCGAAGGAUCGAUACAGGUUGUGGCACGUGGCUGGCUUUAAACUGGCGGCCAGCCUAUAAUACACGCUGAUAACCUCGCUUUGAGGAAGAAGAAAAAAGAAGAAGAAGAAGAAGAAGAAGAAGAGGAACAAUUCGAGCGAAUUUCUUGAUCGAGAAUUAUUUUGAUUAAUCUUUUUUCUUUCUCCCCUCGUGACGUUUUUUUUGUGUUUGAAACAACGGGGAGAGAAACAUGGAGAGAAACAUCUCCCCAACGCGUGUGUAGAAAGUGAAAAUCGCGGUGUGCCGAUCGUGUUCACAGGUUUUCGAUAAUCCUAUCCUCGACAAUCCUAUAUCUCUCUCGGGAAAAUCAGUGGGAAAACAGUGUUGAAAAUUGUGAAAAUUGUGCAAGCUUGUUAAUCGAGGAUUGGAUAAAGAUCGAUGGUGAGAACGAGGAGAAGACUUGGAAGGUGUCGCGCGGAAAAUUUGGGUUGAUCCACCCCGACGAGUGGGGCGGCAAGCGAAUCGUUUCGAGGAGUCUUAGGAGUCGUGGCGCCUUCGAGAGAAGGGGAGCGAUCGAUUGAGAAUUUCGUACGCGAAUCGAGAGCAAAGGCCUAUCUAUUCAAAUUUCAUCGCCCAUUCCGACUUCGUCAACUUCUCGCCUUAGUCAUGGUUCGAUAAGAAAAACCGUAAAAUAUUCUGAAAACUGAAAUCUGAAUGUGAUAAGGAAAGACGAGGAAGGAGUUCCAGUUCCAAAUCGGAUAACUGGGACUGGGAAACUAUAUCCAAAAAUCUAUCGUCGUGAAAGUAAGAAACGCUAUAAUAAAUAAUUAAUUCUUCGAGACAAUCCAAAAACAUCCUCGAAUCCUCGAGGCCAGAUUAAUUAAACUAUAAAUAGGAUCAUUUCUAUAGGAUUUUUAAGAGAAAUAGAUCUAGAUAGAUCUCGACUUUCAGGGGCUCAACAACUUCUAGACAACUUUUUCGAAAAAAAAAUAAAACCACCGAAUUUCUAGCAAAUCGUAUUCCAAAAUACGAUACUUUUAUAGAUUCUAGAAAAGGCUCGAGUAA
rnacentral:lncRNA from 1 species